UCUGAAUCGUUCUGACAGCGGGUGUUGAGUGUCUUUUAGUAAAUAAAACGUUAUUGAACGACUUUAAAAGACAAAAAACACGAAACGCGCUAGACAAAGUGUAAAUUCGUCUUACCUGAACCUGAAAACAAACAUGUAAAAGCGUCACAUCGUUUGUUGAAGAUGUGUGAAGUUCAACGCCUGCACGUGCAGCUUGUGAACGACUCGCCUCAGUGGUCGAUUCAGAGUGGGUGUGAAACUGUGAAAAACAUGGAAUGACAAAAUUUGUCUGCACUGACAGUUUGCAGGGAUUUUGUUCAGCCACUCAUUUCUGAUGCCAGGAUCCUUCAGGUGGAUAUGCAGAGUGUUAGGUGCUGCACACAUCCAGGAACUGCUAAAG